rnacentral:lncRNA from 1 species
AGCAAACAAAGUUAAAAAAUACAGCGAGAAACACAUACAGUAGAAGAAUACUGGAAAUUAUAACAAAUAACAUGUAGGAAAACAUAACAAAUAUUAACAUGCGAACCUAAUCUAGAGGCACAAUAGAUACGAAGGUACAAAAGAGUCAUGUGUAGUAAAAAGAAAAUAGAAGAACAAGAUAUGCAUGGUAGAAAACCAAUACACGAGCAUAAUAUAGACAAAUCCACAUAAGGAAAAGAAAAGGAAGAAUCAGAAAGAUGUUUUGAAAAACUUUCAAAAACCCUAAAUCGAAGAAAAACAAUUUUUUGAAAGAAAAUUUUAGGGAAAACACUUUAAAAGUCUAGUAGAACACAAACAUAGCUUACAUCUAAAAAAACACAUAAAAACCUCGAAUAGCUUAGGACUUCAGAGGAACCUUAGAAAUGAGAAAGGUUUGGAAGAAAGUCCGAUCCGGAGUCGGUUGAGUAAGAAAUAGGCUCUAGUGCUUUGGAUACGCCGGAGCAGGCCGGAGAAUCCAUAGAACUAUAGAUCUGAAAGGAUAUGAAAGAGAACCAUCAAGGUCAGUGUUCAAAGCUUCGAACACCCAAGGUAUAAUGGUGGGGGCUGAGUACAGGUCAUCCAUGACUUGAGAAGCCAUGGAUUCCGAUGGAGUAACUGUUGAAAAUGGUAGAAGUCGACUAGGGUUCCAAAGAACUUUGAGAGAGUUUGAGAGACAAUGUGAUUCAAAGGCUGCUGAG